CUGCUGCCAAUUAAGCUGACCAUGCUCCUUUCCUCAUGGGGGCCCAGUGUGCAAUGACUGUAAACAGCAGCCUCCUUGGUAGUGUACACAGCCUGUUGCUUGUAUGGGUUGCUCUGAGUGACCUUGCACACAACC
ensembl:snoRNA SNORA70 Small nucleolar RNA SNORA70